UACGUAGGGGGCAAGCGUUGUCCGGAUUUAUUGGGCGUAAAGAGCGUGUAGGCGGCCAGGUAGGUCCGCUGUGAAAACCCGAGGCUCAACCUCGGGACGUCGGCGGAAACCAUCUGGCUAGAGUUCGGGAGAGGAGAGUGGAAUUCCCGGUGUAGCGGUGGAAUGCGCAGAUAUCGGGAAGAACACCCGUGGCGAAGGCGGCUCUCUGGAACGAUACUGACGCUGAGACGCGAAAGCGUGGGGAGCGAACAGG
rnacentral:rRNA from 1 species